GGCACAGUGGAACUAAGGAGCUCAUGGUAAGUCACUUGAACAACUCGGAUCCUGGAAAUUGCCUCUGAGUUCAGGACCAACAGCUAAGAGUGUCUAAGGGCUCUGUCUGUGCUCAUUCAAAUCAGUCUCCAGGAGCUCUCUUCCAAAGCUUGGACUAACAGUGCCUGAAUCUGCUGAGCUCUGGAACAAACUGCCAUGAGUUUUCCCAGAUUCCGACAUGGGAACAAGUGAGGAGAUGGGGAUGAGGCCAUGUGGGUGAUAUAUGCUGUUUAAUCCUGCUAUUUACCAUGAUAAGAGUUUAAACAAAAUGACCAAAGACUUCUACUAGAGGUGCUUCCAACAGGCUCCUAUGCAAUGCAUAGAGAGGCUCUUUAGAGGCAAAAGCAAAUAAAUACUUGGCUGGAAAUGCAGCUUUCAUCACUGAUGAACUUCUGAUUUUGUUUGUUUUUCCAUUAAUGCAGACUGGGGUUCGAUCCUCUGUUCCCAUCACAGAGAAGGAAAGUGAAUUUGAGUCAGCCACUGCCGUAGCAGAAAGGAAAGAAAUGAACCCAAGAAGAUCAGGAUUGUGUGCCAGCACACUGCUGCAGUGAAAGGUGUAUCAGGAGUCUGGGAGUAACAGCAAAAUUGCCUCAAAGCUUUUCCCCAAAGUUAGCCAAUUGAGUGAAUGAGUGCUUGUCAAAAAUGAAAAUGUUCAUCCAAGACAACCCUCCUGCAGAUGAUGCUUUAUAUUCCUCUGUGUGGGGACAUGCACUUUUCUUACUGUGUGUAAAGGAUUCAGAUGGAAGUUACAUUUUCUGGUAAUAUAUGAGGAGCCUGUUAAUCUUGGCAGAUAAGAACUCAAUGCAUUUCAUCUAC